rnacentral:rRNA from 1 species
UGGGGAAUUUUGGACAAUGGGCGCAAGCCUGAUCCAGCCAUGCCGCGUGCGGGAAGAAGGCCUUCGGGUUGUAAACCGCUUUUGUCAGGGAAGAAAUCUUCUGAGUUAAUACCUCGGGAGGAUGACGGUACCUGAAGAAUAAGCACCGGCUAACUACGUGCCAGCAGCCGCGGUAAUACGUAGGGUGCAAGCGUUAAUCGGAAUUACUGGGCGUAAAGCGUGCGCAGGCGGUUUUGUAAGACAGAGGUGAAAUCCCCGGGCUCAACCUGGGAACUGCCUUUGUGACUGCAAGGCUUGAGUGCGGCAGAGGGGGAUGGAAUUCCGCGUGUAGCAGUGAAAUGCGUAGAUAUGCGGAGGAACACCGAUGGCGAAGGCAAUCCCCUGGGCCUGCACUGACGCUCAUGCACGAAAGCGUGGGGAGCAAACAGGAUUAGAUACCCUGGUAGUCCACGCCCUAAACGAUGUCAACUGGUUGUUGGGAAGGUUCCUUCUCAGUAACGUAGCUAACGCGUGAAGUUGACCGCCUGGGGAGUACGGCCGCAAGGUUGAAACUUAAAUGAAUUGAC